GGAAGGUGCAUAGCUCAGUGACAGAGCAUCUGCUUUGCAUGCAGAAGGUCCCAUGUUCAAUCCCCAGCAUCUCCA